rnacentral:lncRNA from 1 species
GGGAGAGGUGGGGAUUCUCCCAGUUGGAGUUUAGGUUGUUCAGAUACUGUCACCGCUUUCAAAGCAGCAGCUACACUGGAUUCUCUGCUGAUCCACCAUGAACUUCCCUGUGGUGAUAUUGGCCUUGGCCUUGGCUGUUUUUACAGGUUCCCAGGCUUCUGCCUUAAAGAACGAGUCAGAAACCAGUCUGGAGGAGUCGUUCAAUGAAUGGGAGUCGGAAUUAAGAAAGGUUUUCCAAUCACUGGGACUUCAACUGUAUUUGCUCAGGGAAUCAGAAUUUGCGGAGGAACUAAAAUUUCUGGGUUUUGCCUGGACCUUCAAUGCCUCUAAAUUCUGGAUUGGCUAUGACUGGCCUGAGGACAUCCAACAAACACUUCAUUUCUUCCAUGGAGAUUCCCCCAAACCUGUAACUACGGACCUGGCAAAAGCUGUAACGGCUGCAACUGCUGACCUGGCCAAAGCUAUAAGUGUUGGCCUGGUGAGAGCUGUAUCUGCUGUAAUUGCCGGUGUGGCAAAAGCUAUCGCUGCUUGCCUGUCAAAAGCUGUAUCGACUGUCCUGGGAAACUGGGGGGAACCUUCCGAAGGGGAAUUACUUGAUGAUGCAUCUGAAGAACCAGCUGUUUAUAUAGAUCUAGAUGUGAACCCUUUAACUCCAGAGGAGGAUUCCAUAUUGAGUGGUCUGGUUGCCAGGGCCCUGGCGCUGGUCCCCAAGGUAAUUGUGACACGCGCCAACGCUCAGUCUGUUGGAGAUCGGCUGGCCCCUUACGUGAAAGAACGGAGCGAACACGCAGAGUCUGUUCAGCCAACGGUUAUUAAGGUCAAGGAAAACAUCGUAUUAGCACAGAAGGCCCUCAAUAAGUACGUCUCAAAUCCUUACAUUUUCCCAAUUGUGAAGGCAGCUGAAAAAUAUGCCCCUGACUUUCAAGUAUGGGUUCCAACCUGGGUCAUUCCUCCUUUCCAAUAAAGGAAAGUCUGUAAUCAUCGCUCAGCCUUUUGGUGGCUUCUUAAAACUCAUGGAUUCAAUCACAUUCACAAGAUGUGCGUGUGUCUUUAUCUGGCUCAGAAGCCCUUUGUAUAAAAU